rnacentral:rRNA from 1 species
AUUGAACGCCGGCGGCAUGCUUUACACAUGCAAGUCGAACGGUAACAGGGUGCUUGCACCGCUGACGAGUGGCGAACGGAUGAGUAAUGCGUCGGAACGUGCCGAGUAGUGGGGGAUAACGCAGCGAAAGUUGUGCUAAUACCGCAUACGUACUGAGGUAGAAAGUGGGGGACCUUCGGGCCUCACGCUAUUCGAGCGGCCGACGUCUGAUUAGCUAGUAGGUGAGGUAAAGGCUCACCUAGGCGACGAUCAGUAGCGGGUCUGAGAGGAUGAUGCGCCACACUGGGACGGGGACACGGCCCAGGCUCCUACGGGAGGCAGCGGUGGGGAAUUUUGGACAAUGGGCGAAAGCCUGAUCCAGCCAUGCCGAGUGUCUGAAGAAGGCCUUCGGGUUGUAAAGGACUUUUGUCGGGGAGGAAAUCCCCAGCGUUAAUACCGCUGGGGGAUGACAGUACCUGAAGAAUAAGCACCGGCUAACUACGUGCCAGCCGCCGCGGUAAAAC